rnacentral:rRNA from 1 species
UACGAAGGGGGCUAGCGUUGCUCGGAAUUACUGGGCGUAAAGCGCGAUGUAGGCGGAUGGGCAAGUCUGCUGUGAAAGCUCCUGGCUUAACCGGGAGUGGUCGGUGGAAACUGCCAAUCUGGAGGACGGUAGAGGUAGGUAGAAUUCCCGGUGUAGUGGUGAAAUGCGUAGAGAUCGGGAGGAAUACCUGUGGCGAAGGCGGCUAUCUGGCUCACAACUGACGAUCAGGCACGAAAGCGUGGGGAGCAAACAGG